UCCACCUUGGGAUGCCUCUCCUCCUUUGUCCCUUCCCAAUGCCACAAAUAAAUUCAGCUUGGGUCAAAUAUCUCUUCCCCAAACCAGCCUCCCAACUAACCCAAUCAAUGAAGAGGCUACCUCCCAACCAACCCAAUCAAUGAGGAGGCAGCCCACCCCCUCUCCCUCUAUAUAAAGGGGCUUGGCAGCCCACCCCCUCCUCACUUGCUCUCACUUUUCCACUCCCCACUCUCUCCUCCACUCCCACACACUCUCCUCCUACCUCUCCCCACGAAAUUGCUGCUCCUCCUAGCUUCAUGGCCGGCCAUGGCCAUGGAAAGCUCACCAAGAUGCAGCUCCUUCCUCCCUCAAGCUCAUCCUCACCAUGAGAGCCUCCCCCUCCAUCUUCUCCCCAACCUUAGAUGGUUUAAUCUCCUCUUCUUCUCCCUCCAUUGCUAAGAUUGGAUCUUGAUGCAGGUGCAUGUUGGUCCAAGCAUGGAGAAGAUUCUGGUACGAUCUUGUAAAAUCCGCCAAAUCUCGUGUGCAGAUCCAAAUCGAGUGGUUCAAAGUUCUGCAGAUAGGCAUUGAAAAUAUCUACAACUUGGCGUUGGUCUCAUCCUCAAAUUCGUUACGGAUUUUGCAUGAUAAAUAAAGUUCUGCAAACAUGCAGAAUCAUUGUUUGUUA